rnacentral:lncRNA from 1 species
GACAUCUGCUUCUGGGACUGCAACCACCUGGUGUCUGCCACCAUGUGUAGUGUCACCACAUAGCUGUGAUUCUCCAGCCAGCUGAACAUUGACCUGUACACACAUGGGCCAUGAACAUGGUGCUCUUCCCAUGCCUACAGUUCUUCACUGCAGCCUGGACAGUCAGCAAUACAGUGACACUGACAGUGUCCAAUCUCAUACAACAGAUUUUUGAUGCCAAGAACAUAUGACUACCUGUGACCCAUGCCAAGGCCACUGUCUGACUAUGACCAUCUUCUUCCAGGGCUCCAUGUCCAUGAAGGAGGUAGACAUGCAGAUACUGGCCAUCUAGAACAAGAAUGGCAGCUGCUUUGUGGAGUGGAUCUCCAACAAUAUCAAGGUACCCAUGUUCAACGUCCUGCCAGGGGGCCUGAAGGUGGUCUCUGCCUUCUAUCCAGAUGCAAUAGUUCUAACAUCAGAAGUACCAGGAUGCCAAUGUCAAAGACAAAGAAGAGAGUUUUGAAGAUGACAAUGAAGAAGAGAUCAACAAUU